AUAAUACAAGUAACAGCCUCUUUUGAAGAUCUCUCCACGUGGAAUUAACUAAAAGUCUAUGUGGUUCUUUCAACCAGCUCACUCCCGGAGGGCGGAGCGAGUGGUUCACGGAAGCUGCCAAGUCAGCUAUCAACUGUUGUGAAUGAGCCUUCUUUACCUCCUACCAAUACAGACCCAAGUCCAGAAAGCCUUGGCGCUGCUGCUUCACGUCCUCUUCGGCAGGGUAAUGGUUCUGGUGGUCCCUCUUUAUAACCAGCAGCAAAGGAGUAAUGUUGCCGGUCCGCCUCACACCUAAUCGACAAAAAGGAAAUAAUGCUCCGGGGAAUUUUGCAUAGCUGAAAGUAUGUUCAUGUUCUUCAAAUGCUUUAAUGUCCGCAUCAUAUUAUUUGGAGAAGACUUUCUGGCUUGUUGACAGUGGGUGUGCUUAUUGGGUUGUUGUUAAGAGCAAGAGAACUGGAUCUUCUUGAUAAAGAUGUUAGAAAAAAGAGGAUAAAUGAAUAACCGAUUUUACAUGAAGUUAUGAAUCUUCAUUGGCUGAAGGAAAGAGACAAUGUAUUGGUACAACUGAAAGCUUAGAAGACUUGGCUACAGUCAGUGGAGUUGGACCAUCAGUUUUCAAAAGAUAAGCUUGUGGGCAAGAGAAAAAUACAAUGGACAACUUGGGGUGGAAAGGAUGGGAUUUUGACAAAAACACUCAAGGCACGCAUUGAUAUGGAACGUACACGAAGAGAGUGUCUGUGCAGCUCCUCACUUGCACUGAAGAUGCUUAGUAAUUUCGAUGCUACUACCAACGAGGGAGAGAGUGUUGUAUAUGAGGAAGAGAAAGUGCAGCCUGAGUCCAGGAGCAGCUUCACUUUUAAAGAAAGAUUUACAGCUGAAAGUAACGUCGAGAGAAGAUCUAACUAGAGGGUUAGAAAAGACGAGUACAUUACUUCUUAAGGAGGAGCAGUUAACACCAAGCCACUGUAUGAAGCCAGUCAAAGAAGAAACUGUUUAUGAUUCAUUCAUCUAAAGGAGUCAUCUCUGUUACAGCUACUAAAUCCACAAGUUGAAAAAAAGAAUUCACAGUGAUGGAUAUGAUGAGCAAGACAUACCGAGUUUCUGA